GCCGGGGGGGGUCUUUACAUGCAGUCGACGGAAAGGCCUCUAGCUUGCUGGGGGUACUCGAGUGGCGAACGGGUGAGUAACACGUGGGUGAUCUGCCCUGCACUUCGGGAUAAGCUUGGGAAACUGGGUCUAAUACCGGAUAUGAACGGUCUUUGGUGUGAUUGUUGGAAAGAUUUUUUCGGUGUGGGAUGAGCUCGCGGCCUAUCAGCUUGUUGGUGGGGUAAUGGCCUACCAAGGCGUCGACGGGUAGCCGGCCUGAGAGGGUGUACGGCCACAUUGGGACUGAGAUACGGCCCAGACUCCUACGGGAGGCAGCAGUGGGGAAUAUUGCACAAUGGGCGCAAGCCUGAUGCAGCGACGCCGCGUGGGGGAUGAAGGCCUUCGGGUUGUAAACUCCUUUCGCUAGGGACGAAGCCUUUUAUUAGGUGACGGUACCUGGAUAAGAAGCACCGGCUAACUACGUGCCAGCAGCCGCGGUAAUACGUAGGGUGCAAGCGUUGUCCGGAAUUACUGGGCGUAAAGAGCUCGUAGGUGGUUUGUCGCGUCGUCUGUGAAAUUCCGGGGCUUAACUCCGGGCGUGCAGGCGAUACGGGCAUAACUUGAGUGCUGUAGGGGAGACUGGAAUUCCUGGUGUAGCGGUGAAAUGCGCAGAUAUCAGGAGGAACACCGAUGGCGAAGGCAGGUCUCUGGGCAGUAACUGACGCUGAGGAGCGAAAGCAUGGGUAGCGAACAGGAUUAGAUACCCUGGUAGUCCAUGCCGUAAACGGUGGGCGCUAGGUGUAGGGGGCUUCCACGUCUUC
rnacentral:rRNA from 1 species